rnacentral:lncRNA from 10 species
CUAUUUUAUACUGAUAGGAUCACUUUACGCACCUGUUUUGAGGACUCUGAGGCCAUGUUCAGACUCAUGUCUGAAACCCUUGCACCCCAUACAGUGCCUGGCACCCACAAGGCCCUCACCUGCAGGCAUCAUGAAAGCUCCAUGUGGGACUAGAAAGGGGAAAGGAGAAAAUACACUUCUUGCAGACUAAACUCAUGAUUCUCUUGUAUUCCUGCACCCUGCCUGAUUUCCCUUAUCCCUAGACUGGGGCCAAUGCUUCUCUUAAUGGCAAACACAAUAGCCUUAGGGUUUAAUUGUUGGGGAGAUAGGGGGCAUUUUCUUGCCUUGUCAAAUGGGGAGGUAUCCCACUUCCCCACUUUACAAGGUGAGAAAUCCACUAGUGGAGGAAAUGGAAAAGAGAAUUUUCUCCAGGGUCCUGAGUGAUUAUAGGUGUUCACGUAAUUCUCCAUACAGUUUUACAUGCAUCAUACAUAAACAGGUAAUCUUUGGCUGCCUUAAAAUAGCCCCAUCUCAGUUUUUAAAAGAAUACGAUUAUUUCAUUACAUCUAAAUAUAGACAAAGAGUCUGUGCUGCUGCAUAACUUAGGCAAAUACAUGCAAAUCUCUUGCAGACCUGAUCCCGUCACUGAGUUUCUAAUUCUCAGGCCUCUGGUGCCCCUCCUCUCUCGUGCCGCUGCCCUUGAACAACAGGAUCUGGUUGAUCCGCUGGGCUAGUGACUCUGCUCAGCCUACCGCUCAGGGCUACUGUGGGGGUCCGAUGAGGGACAGGGCAGUGAGAGGGCUGUGCACAUGGACGUGCAACACUGUGGCAUGCAGGAGGUGGGGCCGGGAGGGUGGUGAGCAGGAUCGUCAUGGGAGGUCACACCAGGCAGACCUCCAGCUGCUCUCCUGGGAGUGCCGGGGUUUCAUUCCUCUCUCAUUCUCAUUUUUUCCCCUCUCAAAUCUGUUUCCCAUUAAAAUGAAAUGUGUUCUCCUCUCGGCUUUCUGCCUGGCUCCCUGAGCUGCGCCUGGCCCAGCUCUGAGAACCAGGCUGCAUUUGCUCCUUUUUAAGGCACCCACUAAUUCAAACCAAGCAAGUGGGAGGCGGAUUGGCCUAUGGGGCCACCCCCCAUCCCCCAACCCUGGACUUUCUCCAUGGAUGGAAAAUUUGGCCUCAGCCUGCCCUUGUGACUGGAAAAAGCGGGGUCAGCUCAUCAAAGCAGAACAGGGUUGUUAGCUAGCUUUCCUCUUUCAGAGGGUUAUAUUAAGAAGGCGUGGCUCAGGGAGGGGGUUACUGGCCCUGGCUGGCCCCAGCCAGAAAGUUGCGGGGGUGGGGUUUGCUAGAGCAGGCAGAUGCCUGCCAGGGCCAGGGAGAGCUUUCUGAGAGGGUGGUGAGAGACUGGAGAGGUGGGAGAGGGGUAGCUAUGAAAGGAAAAUGUGUGGAGGUGACAUGGUCUGUAGGUUGGGCCAGGCCAGAAGAGAAGGUCAAAGAGAAAUGAGUGUUCCAGUCAGGCUUGAUGUCUUAGGGAAGAUCCUGGGGCCCAGCCCACUGCCCCCUCCUCUCCGUCUCUCCUGCUCCCGGGGCUGAGGGAAUGGAAGGAGCUGUGCCACUGUGAGGAGGAGGACCUGCAUCUGUGAGGGGCCUGCUGGGACCAGCUGCUGGGGAGUACAGCUUUCUCUCAGUAGCUGAAGGGGGCUGCCUCUUUUCCAAGGGGCAGCUGCCACGCCACCGCAGGAAAAUCUGGCUUGCCAUUUUGGAUACCUGGAUUUUCCCACAGUGUGAGGGGGCUGGGGGUGUGGCCCAGGAAGGUGCACCUGAGGUGGGAGAAGAAAGAAGAAGACUGGAUGGGAGUCAGCUGAAUUGGGGGCCGCAGAGGCUGGGGUGAGAGGGAGGGAAGGAGGUGUCAAAGCUCAGCCUCCCAAAGCUGAGCGAGAAGAGCAUGACGGGAGGGUGUUUCCCACCUCCUCGCCCACUCCAGCGCAGGGUCCUGUCUCCGUCCAAACGCUGCAAGCCUUUCCACAUUCCUGCACUACCUUCCUGCGCUGCCUUUGGAGAUCUGAGAGUCUUCAGGCAUGAACUCUGGGAAGGUCUCACUCUGCUGCCCGGGCUGGAAUGCAAUGGUGUGAUCUCGACUCACUGCAACCUCUGCCUCCUGGGCUCAAGCAACCCUCCUGCCUCAGCCUCCCAAGUAGCUGGGACUGCAGCCGUGUGCCACCACCACACCCAGCUAAUUUUUGUCUUUUUGUAGAGACAGGGUCUCACCAUGUUGACCAGGCUGGUCUCAAACCCCUGAGCUUAAGUGAUCCACCUGCCUCAGCCUCCUGAAGUCCUGGGAUUACAGGUGUGAGCCACCGUGCCCAGCUCUAAUUUAUUUUUAAAAGGUGAAUUGCUCCAGAAGUGUUUUGAACAUUCUUAGCAACAGCAAUUCUCUUUCUUCACCUUUACACCUGACUGGGGUAGGCCUGGUUGUCAUGACAUCACUGUGGAAAGCAACCACCUGGGGGACUGCUUGGUGAUCAGUCAAGCCUUCAGCUGACCAGCUUUCCCUUCUAUGGUCUGGAGCACCACAGGGCAGGGACAGGAGAGCACCAAUUCUUCAAUGUGAACAGAACUCUCCGACAUCAUCAGAAGGGAUGUCUGCCGGUUUUGCCUCCCCAAGCAUCCUUUCUGCCUUUUUCUGCUCGCAGCAUCUUGCUUCCCUUCUGGGAGUGCCUACUGCCUGUUCCAUUGCACUAAUGUCUGCCCUCUCCAAAGCUUAGGCAUGUGACCCAAUCAGACUAGAGUGUCUUUCCUGAGAACCCAGGGUUGUGGCCCCGGCAACAAGAUAGAUAGCAGUUAGGUCAGAGUGCUCUUGACCCAUGAAUUCUUACUACUCUGAAUUUUGAGCAGGGUUUACAUAAAUAAUAAAUUAGAGCAAGCUCAAAGUUAGCCCUAAAAUACUGUCACUUUCUCUUGAUUUUAAUAUACUUUCUUGAAGAGGUGAGAGAAAGCUUGCACUAUCCCUAAUAGGUAGGAAAUUGUAUGUCACCUGCAUGAUAGCUGUGGCCUGGGGUCCUGUCCUUCCAAAGCAUGGCUGUCCAAAUCUUCCAGUUUAGGAAUCUAAACUGGAAAAUGUAGCCACUGCGCAGCACUGCCUUCAUACCAUCCAGAAACCAGAUAUUUCCUUUUUCCUUAAAGUGCCCCAGGAAUAGAGUUACUAGAUUUAAUAAAUACAAAUACAGGAUACCCGGUUACAUUCGAAUUUUAGAUAAACAUAAAUGAAUACUUUUUUUAGUGUAAUUAUGUCCCAUGCAAUAUUUGGGCAUCCUGUAUUAUGUCUGGCAACCCUACUCAGGGAAGAAAAUGAUGUUUCGUCUCUUGGGGUUGACUUACAAACACUCACCCUCCUUUACCCGAUUCUGCUGUCCCUUCUCCCCCACAAGCAAAUGGCUUCUGUAAGAGUGGCCGUAUUAUUCGCCAGAUGGUUCGACCAAGGGUUACAUCUGACAAAAGAUGGACCAACCAGUGCAGCUUCCUAAGAAUUUUUCAAACAGUAAGAAAGAAUUAAGUGCUUUCAGGUGUUGGAGUUUGAGACAUUAAGCUCAGGGACUGGUGGCAGCCUUGAUUUCCAACACAUGGACAGGACUGGCCUCUAUUGAGAGAGAAUGAGGUAGACGCGCAGGCGGAAGCAGAGAGUGCUGACAGUGUUCAAAUAUUAAAUUCCAGUUGUUCUUGAGGGGCUCCUUGCCUUUGCCAUGUUUCUUUUUUCUUUUCUUUUUUUUUUUGAGACAGAGUCUCACUCUGUCUCCCACGCUAGAGUGCAGUGGUGCGAUCUCGGCUUGCUGCAACCUCCGCCUCCCUGGUUCAAGCAAUUCUCCUGCCUCAGCCUCCCAAGUAGCUGGGAUUACAGGUGCAUACCACUAUGCCUGGCUAAUUUUUGUAUUUUUAGCAGAGAUGGGGUUUCACCAUGUUGGUCAAGUUGGUCUUGAACUCCUGACCUCAGGUGAUCCACCCUCCUCGGCCUCCCAAAGUGCUGGGAUUACAGGUGUCAGCCACCAAGCCCGGCCUGCCUUGUUUUCAUAAACUAAAAAUAAAAUCCUAAGCCCCCCAACCAACUAAAUGGACCCCCUCUUGCCCAGGUGACCCCAGAGAAACCUGAAAAACUGAGUUCUUGGCCAUGAGGGGAGGGAGGUUGGACACACCUCAUUAUACCCUCUCCCUUUUGGAGUUUAGGCACAACUGGCCAGCAUUAAUGCUAAAACAGAGAUCAUAAGACUAAUAAAAUGGACUCUUCGUGACAAUAAGAUACCGAAUUAUAAACAGGACCUAAGGCCAUGCCAGACAAGGGGUAAUUCACACACUCCUACAGGUUGCUGCAGCCCAGUGUAUUGGUUAAUAGAAUUCCUUAUCUUAAAACAUUCCUUUCUGCUGACUCCAGAUUUUUAAACAGAGCUUUACUCCUUUAGCCAAUGGCAAAUUAAAGAAUCUCUGAAUCCACCUAUAACCUGUAAGCUCCCCCACUUCAAGAUAUCCGCCUUUGCAGGCUGAACCAAUGUAUACAUUCCAUGUAUUGAUUUAUGACUUUGCCUGCAAGUCCUGCCUCCCUAAAAUGUAUAAAACCAAACUGUAGGCCGGGCGUGGUGGCUCACACCUAUAAUCCCAGCACUUUGGGAGGCCGAGGCGAGCAGAUCACGAGGUCAAGGGAUCGAGACCAUCCUGGCCAACAUGGUGAAACCCCAUCUCUACUAAAAAUACAAAAAAAAAAUUAGCCGGGUGUGGUGGCAUGUGCCUGUGAUCCCAGCUACUUGGGAGGCUGAGGGAGGAGAACCACUUGAACUCGGGAAGUGGAGCGAGCUGAGAUUGCUCCACUGCACUGCACUUCAGCCUGGCAGCAGAGCGAGACUCCGUCUCAAAAAAAAAAAAAAACAAAAAAAACCUGUAAUCCCCAACUGCUUCCCGUGCACUAUCUUGGACCUCUUGAGACUGUGUUCCUGGGCCAUGUUCAUUCAUAUUGGCUCAGAAUAAACCUCUUUAAAAUAUUUAGAGCCUGGUUUUUGGAUUAACAUUUUGAUUAUUUAUGCUUUUUUAGUUUACAUGAACUACUAAGUUCUUUUUGCCCAAGGGUUGAAACCAAAUACAAGUCGCAACACUUUAUCAUAUUGGAGUCAGCUGUUAAGUUUCUGUUCCCAAGAUGUGAGGAGGAGCAGUGUCUUACUCAUCUUGGUCUCCUCAGCAUCUAACCCAGCAACUGGCAUAGAGUAGGACCUCAAUCAUGUUUUCAAAAAAUUAAUAAAUGACUCCCUGGGCAUGGAGAUGAGCAAUGUAGUGCACAUUUGACUGAUCUGAUUUCUUCUUUUUUAAAUCAUGAAUGUAUUUCUUUUUAAUUAUUUUCGUAGAGACAAGGACUUGCUAUGUUGCCCAGGGUGGUCUUGAACUCCUGGUCUCAAGUGAUCCUCCCACCUUGGCCUCCCAAAGUGUGGGGAUUACAGACGUGAGCCACCAUGCCCAGCCAUGAUUUGAUUUCUUGACAGAAACUCACCAAACAUCAGGAAUCUUUUCCACCAGCUCACUGGAAAAUCCUGAAACUUAGAGAAUCUCUCACUCCACAGCUGGCCGGAAUGGAAGGCAAGGUUGUGGUUGGGUUACUGGUUUUUGCCCAGGUAGGAAAGUAAGGGAGCCUUUAUGAUAAGGAUCAUGGUCGCUGAAACAACCAUGGUUGCUUCAAAAGUAGCCUCCUUGCAUUAUGCAGUUUUUUUAAAAAAAACUUUAUUUUUAGUUAUUUCUUAGAGACAGGAUCUCACUCUGUUGCUCAGGCUGGAGUGUAGUGGCAUGACUAUAUCUCACUGCCUCCUUGAACUCCUGGGCUCAAGUGAUACUCCUGCCUCAGCCUCCCAAGUAGUCGGGACCACAGGCACACACCACCAUGCCCAGCUCAUUUUCAAGUUUUUUGUAGAGACAGGGUUCUGCUAUGUUACCUAGGCUAGUCUUGAACUCCUAGGCUCAAGGGAUUCCUCUGCCUUAGCUUUCCAAAGUGCUGGAAUUACAGGUGUGAACCAUUGCACGUGGCCUGUGCAGUUGUUUUGAUUUCCUUUCUAAACAGAUGAGAAUGAAAUAUGAGCAAAUCCUGUUGGGUCCUUCUAAAGAGGCUCUGGGAAGAUGGCACUGGCUCUGUUUGUCUAUGCCCAGGACAGCUCCUGGAGAGCAGUGGGGAAGCACAGGAAAGGGUCCCUGCAAGGCAUGCUCAAGGUGGUGCUGUCAAGAACAGUGGAACUUGGCUGGGUGCAAUGGCUCACGCCUGUAAUCCCAGCACUUUGGGAGGCCGAGGUGGGUGGAUCUCCUGAGGUCAGGAGUUCGAGACCAGCCUGGCCAACAUGGUGAAACCCCAUCUCUACUAAAAAUAAAAAUACAAAAAUUAGCUGGGCAUGAUGGUGGGCGCCUGUAAUCCCAGCUACCUGGGAAGCCGAGGCAGAAGAAUCACUUGAACCCGGGAGGUGGAGGUUGCAGUGAGCUGAGAUAGCGCCACUGCACUCCAGCCUGGGCAACAAGAGUGAAACUCUGUCUCAAAAAACAAAACAAAACAAAAACAAAUUCCAGCAUGUCCUGCCUGGCCUUUGUCCUGUCAUCCCCAUUACCCUGACUCAGUAUUCUCAAAAGCCUGGAAUAUAGUUGCCUUCUAGUCUCAGGUUACACCAGAGCGGGGCACCUGGAUGCAUAGCACUCCUCCACCCCACCCCCACCCCAUAGACUUUCAGGAAAGAGGAGUCAGCUUUCAGCAGGACUGCCAACCUGUCUGGAAGGAGGGAGGACAGCAAGCUCUGUAGCAUCCCUAGAGAGUGGUUGCCCAGUCUCCCAAACUGCAGGGAGACAGCUCUCUCUCUCUCUCUUUGCCAGAGGAAGAAUGAACUUCUGUCACCCUCUGCACUCAAGGAACUCCAUCACCUCUAAAUUAUUUGUGUCAACCACUGAAGUCCAAGGAGAAUUUCAGAGCUGGGAGAAUUUGUUUGUAUUUUCACAAUUUAUAAUGCUCUUUUUGUCAGACCAAUUUGCCAAUACAAAAGGAUGGCCUAACAUACCAUUAUGGAGAGAGGAAACACAACAAGCAAACUAAAGCUUUUGCAACAUCAAAGUGAAUAUUAUCUUUGGCAAAAUGUAAGAGAGAUGUGGGGAAAUAAAGGCUGCUGGGAAGGUUCUGUUACUAAGGGGUUUGUCAGCUGAUCCCCGAGGCCCCUUUUGGCUCUGAAGUUCUGGAGAAUUAGAUUCUUUCCUACAUUUAUUCUGCUUUCUCUGUCCUUUUAUCGCAUGUGUUUAUUUCACCAGCUUUGUUUCUUCUAUGCUCAUCACAUUUGCAUGCUGAUUUUUCUAACAAUGAUAAGGAAAGUCUCUCUCUGAACGGAAAUUUUGAUAGCACAAUGGGUGGACAGGACAGUUGUGAUUUGUAGAAAUGUUUCCUCACAGCUAUCUUACCUGCAUGAAUAUUCUUGCUGGGACUUCCUAGGGAGUGUGUCUUCUUGUCUUCUGUUCCUUGAAUAAUAACCUGAUCAUUUACUGACAUGUUGACCUAAAAAUAAAUUCCAUAUCACUUCUCUCUCUCAUUAAUGAUGUGUCAACUGUUAUGCUACGAGAUGCAAAUAUGUUAUCUCAUUUAAAAUUCCUUUUUUUUUUUUUUUAACCAAGUCUCACUCUGUUGCCGAGGCUGGAGUGCAGUGUCGCCAUCUCGGCUCACUGCAACCUCCGCCUCCCAGCUUCAAGUGAUUUUCGUGCCUCAGCCUCCUGAGAUUACAGGUGAUCACCACCACGCCCAGCUAAUUUUUUGUAUUUUUAGUAGAGACGAGGUUUCACCAUGUUGGCCAGGCUGGUCUCAAACUCCUGACCUCAAGUGAUCCGCCCGCCUUGGCCUCGCAAAGUGCUGGGAUUACAGGCAUAAGCCACCACGCCCAGCCUCAUUUAAGAUUCUUUACAAACCUUUUGGGACAUAUAAUUCUCAUGUGACAGAUGAAGAAAGUGAGUCCUAAUGAGAUUAAGAAACUUGAUGCUGUCACACAGCUG